rnacentral:rRNA from 1 species
AGGUGCGAUCAUGCCAGUACUAAUACACCGAAUCCCAUCGGAACUCCAAAGUUAAGCGUGCUUGGACGAGAGUUAUACUAAGAUGGGAUUUGUCACAGAACUUCCACAGACAUAGGCA